AUUGAACGCUGGCGGCAUGCCUUACACAUGCAAGUCGAACGGCAGCACGGGUGCUUGCACCUGGUGGCGAGUGGCGAACGGGUGAGUAAUACAUCGGAACGUACCUUAUCGUGGGGGAUAACGCAGCGAAAGUUGCGCUAAUACCGCAUACGCCCUGAGGGGGAAAGCGGGGGACCGUAAGGCCUCGCGCGAUUAGAGCGGCCGAUGUCUGAUUAGCUUGUUGGUGAGGUAAAAGCUCACCAAGGCGAUGAUCAGUAGCUGGUCUGAGAGGACGAUCAGCCACACUGGGACUGAGACACGGCCCAGACUCCUACGGGAGGCAGCAGUGGGGAAUUUUGGACAAUGGGGGCAACCCUGAUCCAGCAAUGCCGCGUGAGUGAAGAAGGCCUUCGGGUUGUAAAGCUCUUUUGUCAGGGAAGAAACAGCAGCUCUAACACAGUCUGCGAAUGACGGUACCUGAAGAAUAAGCACCGGCUAACUACGUGCCAGCCGCCGCCGUAAUAC
rnacentral:rRNA from 1 species